UCGUUCAUCAACAUAUCACUAUAGUUGCCCCAUCAGAUGAGUGCUUCAAUCUCCUCCUUGAGCUGCUAAUAUUUCUCGAUAUCAUGAUCGUGGUCUCAAUGAUAUUAGCAAUACUUUCUUAUAUUCCUCGCAUAUGAUGGGGUUGUUAUCUUCCUUGGCUUUAGGAGAUCAGCUCCUUGAUGCUCUAUCUCCAUUAGUAUAUGUGAUCAGGGAGUGUUGAGCGAAGUGAAGUUGUUAAAACUCUGAGGUGGGGACUUAGA
rnacentral:lncRNA from 1 species